UUAAGUUCAGCGGGUAGUCCUACCUGAUUUGAGGUCAAAUUUGAUGAUGAUUUUGUCCGAAGACCAUUAUAAGCGGACUCUGAGGGAUCAAACGACAGCGCAACUAUGAUUAUCACACUGACAUCCGGAAGCCAAAGGUUGAAUUCCGCUGAUGCAUUUGAGAGGAGCCGAACCAAUAUCGCGGACCGAGGCACCUCCAA
rnacentral:misc_RNA from 1 species